UACGUAGGGUGCAAGCGUUGUCCAGAAUUAUUGGGCGUAAAGAGCUCGUAGGCGGUCUGUCGCGUCGGCUGUGAAAACUCGGGGCUCAACCCCGAGCCUGCAGUCGAUACGGGCGGACUAGAGUUCGGCAGGGGAGACUGGAAUUCCUGGUGUAGCGGUGAAAUGCGCAGAUAUCAGGAGGAACACCGGUGGCGAAGGCGGGUCUCUGGGCCGAUACUGACGCUGAGGAGCGAAAGCGUGGGGAGCGAACAGG
rnacentral:rRNA from 1 species